GGCCUGAUAGUAGAGUUGACAUUGUGCUGGAUUACAGUAAAUGGCUGAACAUGUUCCAUCCGGAGACCCUCGUUCGACUUGAGGUCGGGCCG